AUGUUCGUGGCGCGCAGUAUCGCGGCGGACCACAAGGAUCUCAUCCAUGAUGUGUCUUUUGACUUCCACGGGCGGCGGAUGGCCACCUGCUCCAGCGACCAAAGCGUCAAGGUCUGGGAUAAAAGUGAAAGUGGGGAAUGGCAUUGCACUGCUAGCUGGAAGACACAUAGUGGAUCUGUGUGGCGUGUGACAUGGGCCCAUCCUGAGUUUGGACAGGUUUUGGCUUCCUGUUCUUUUGACCGAACAGCUGCUGUCUGGGAAGAAAUCGUAGGAGAAUCAAAUGAUAAACUGCGCGGACAGAGCCACUGGGUCAAGAGGACAACGCUGGUGGACAGCAGAACGUCCGUUACCGAUGUGAAAUUUGCUCCUAAGCAUAUGGGUCUCAUGUUAGCAACAUGUUCAGCAGAUGGGAUAGUUAGAAUCUAUGAGGCUCCAGACGUCAUGAAUCUCAGCCAGUGGUCUCUGCAGCAUGAGAUCUCAUGCAAACUCAGCUGUAGUUGUAUUUCUUGGAACCCUUCAAGCUCUCGUGCUCAUGCUCCCAUGAUUGCUGUAGGAAGUGAUGACAGUAGUCCAAAUGCAAUGGCCAAGGUUCAGAUUUUCGAAUAUAAUGAAAACACCAGGAAAUAUGCAAAAGCUGAAACUCUCCUGACUGUCACAGACCCUGUUCAUGAUAUCGCCUUUGCUCCAAACUUGGGACGAUCUUUCCACAUUCUUGCCAUAGCAACCAAAGAUGUGAGAAUUUUUACAUUAAAGCCUGUGAGGAAAGAACUUACUUCCUCUGGUGGGCCAACAAAAUUUGAAAUCCAUAUCGUGGCUCAGUUUGAUAAUCAUAAUUCUCAGGUCUGGCGAGUGAGUUGGAAUAUAACAGGAACAGUGCUGGCAUCUUCAGGAGAUGAUGGCUGUGUGAGGUUGUGGAAAGCUAACUAUAUGGACAACUGGAAGUGUACUGGCAUUCUGAAAGGUAAUGGGAGCCCUGUCAAUGGGAGUUCUCAGCAGGGAAACUCAAAUCCGUCCAUAGGUUCAAAUAUCCCAAGUCUUCAGAAUUCACUAAAUGGAUCUUCUGCUGGCAGAAAGCACAGCUGA
rnacentral:lncRNA from 1 species